CUAUAUCUCUGAUUCUCUUUUUACAUGUGCUUUUGGCUGUGUGUGGUGUGAAACGAACAAAAUGUGAGCAUUUUCUUACACUUUUAUGCAUAGCUAGGCACAAAUACAUGUGCUUUCGUGUUAAAGACUUUGGUUUUGAUGUGGGUUUUUUAUUUAAAUGGGAGCUAGUUGGUCAUUACCUUAAAUGUCUCUGCUAAAUUUGGUUUAGCAUUAGUAGAAUGAUUCUCUUUGUUUUGUAUUAAAUUAGUAAAUUCAAUCAAGAAAAGGUUAAUCUUUGCUGUCAAGGGAAGGUUUGAAGAGAGUGGAGUAGUACUUUAUGUUAGCUAGAAUUAUAGGAUUUUGUCAAACAUAAAGGAUGUGAUUGCGAAUUGUGGAAUGUGAAAAAGGGAUGGUCUUUUUUUUCUCUGGAAAGAAGAGAGCAUAGGAUUUUGCAAUAUGUGGAUAUUGGUGUUGUGGAAAUAAAGAGUUUCUUUGGCACCGGUUUAUUAGUUUAGAGUGGCAAUUUGGGUUUCCGGGACAGGAUUUUUGUGGUUGCAAUCGUAUUACAUGAAGGGAAGUUUCAAGGUAUUAAGAGGGGAUGACAAAAGUUCUUGUUUAUAAUGUAUAUGAAGGGAGAAGUUGUGUGGGGAUUUUGUUGUUGCAAGGAAAGGGAGUAGUGAGUUAAAUCUGUUGGUUUUUUGCUGUUUUGUACUUUAUAUGCUUGUAAAUAGUCUUUGUUCACAAGUCUCAUAGUGACAUAUCAGCUUUCUUUUGUAGAAUCUAAACUGAAGGUUUUCUUUGUCUAAACUUCUGCCAACUGUAAUGCUCUAUACAUCACAUAUUCAUAUAUUAUCAUUAUCAUCCUUGGCAUUAAAAUUGAAGAAAUAUUAGUAUUACUAGGUUUCUGAUUCUAUUUAUUUAUGCGUGUGUUCUUCAUGUGAGGUCUAUGCUAUCUUAAAUUUGUUAUUUUUAGGAUACCCACUGAACCUAUAUUUAUUUUCAAACGCAUUUUCUUAUGUGAGAGAGACAUUUGUUUUGAGUUGAGUUUUAGAGUAGAUGGCUUUUUCGCAUAAUCUAGGAGAUUGUCAGAAUCAUUGUCUCUUCUAAAUUUUGUUUGAAGUUUUGAUCUUUAGCAAUGACACCUAGUGAAUGAGGGAGGAAAUUGAAGAAAACAGGGCUGUGCUAAAGAAGCAGAAGGUGGUUAAAUUUAUGGAGGAAAAGCAAUUGGAGAAGCUUAAUGGAGUGGGAGAGAAGAAGGAACAGGAAGGGUCGGGUAGAGUUAGGUUGGUUCAAAAAGACUUUUGUUUCAGCAGUGGCGAUUUCUAUUUUUUCAACUAUUUCCUUCAGUUCUGGCCUCCCAAUCUUAAUGUCAAAAAGUUUGAGUACAUGAUGCUACUGUAGUUGCUUAAACAGGGUCAUUCAGAACCUGAGAAAAAGAUUGGUUGUGGGCCAUGCUUUCUGAGUCCAUUUUCAUCCAGUGCAGAAGAGUUGGUCCUUCUUCCACAUUUGAGAUGAUGGCUUUGUUGAUGAUCCCAGUUUCCUGAAGAGCGUGGAUAAUAUUCUUCCCUUGCCAAAGGACAUGAAAUUAAAUUCUGAUGCUAGCACAUAUUUAGGUGGUGGUAAGGGUCACAAAGGGAUGGGUGGUGGUGUAGGAAGAGAUAUCAUGGAUCUUCAAUUGCCAAUGGAAAAGGUAUCUUUUGGCCUAAAUUCCACUGAGGAAAAUAACAAGAUAAAUGUUGCUCUCGUGGCAACUGGCAGUUUCAAUCCUCCCACUUUUAUGCACCUGCGAAUGUUUGAGCUAGCAAGAGAUGCAUUACAGUCAGAGGGAUUCCAUGUCAUUGCAGCAUACAUGUCGCCUGUUAGUGAUGCAUACAAGAAAGCAGGCCUCGUAUCUGGGGAUCAUAGGUUGCAGAUGUGUCGCUUGGCCUGUGAAACUUCAGAUUUCAUAAUGGUUGAUCCAUGGGAGGUAAACCAAAGCACUUUCCAACGUAGUUUGACUAUUUUACAAAGAGUAGAGGGUUCAUUUACUAAUGGCAUGAAGAUGUCCAGAGAAUCAAUUAGGGUCAUGCUUGUUUGUGGUUCUGAUUUACUCCAAUCAUUUAGUAUUCCUGGGUUUUGGAUUCGUGAUCAGGUGAGAACCAUAUGCAGCGACUAUGGUGUGGUCUGCAUAUGUAGAGAAGGGCAAGAUGUUAACAAGAUUAUAUCUAAUGAUGAAAUUUUGAAUGAAAACAAGGGUAAUAUUAGAGUAACAAGUGAUCUUGUUCCAAACCAGAUCAGUUCAACAAGAGUUAGGGAAAGCAUUUCAAGAGGGUUGUCCAUAAAGUACUUAACUGCAGAUGGAGUGAUUGAUUACAUUAGAGACAAAGGUUUGUACCGGAACCAAGAGGACAAAAAAGAUGAUUUCUAAUCAUAUCACAGCUUUGUUCAUCAACUAUAUGUAAGUCCAUAUCUUGAGCAGUCAUAAUUACUUGAUAGACGAAGCACCGGAACAGGAAAAUACAUCUGUCAAUAGUUUGGGCUCCAAAUGAGACGGCUUGUGUUGAAUUCUCUACAGCUAAAUGAUCAUCUUAAGAUACGGCAUUCUGGAGCCAACUCAUCCAUCAAUCUGGAUGUAGAUGGCUUCGAAGUGUUCUUCUUUCCUGGUUAAAGUUUUGGAUAAGAAAAGAAUUACGCGUGUUGAAUGACGACAGGUCCAUGGAUUCAAGAACAGGGAAUUCUAAGAAAUACGUCUGGAGAAUUGUAUGCAUCCCAUACAGCAGCAGACUAGACCCAUAUUGACCAGGACCGGCCUCUCUUUUCCACGACCCCGUCAAGGUGGCUAAAUCGAAGACUUGAAGACUCAAAAUCACAGUUUGAUUGGCUUGGUGAUUUGCAAGUUGGAUUCGGAAAGUAUCCCAAGCCGCCUGCCCCAUGUCUCCUAGCAAAAGCCAUAAUAUAGCGAAAUCGAAAGAUACAACUUGCAAUAACUCGUCAAAAAGAAACAGUGCAAUUGGGAAUAGCUUUUAAUUCUUUAUUUACGUGUUCGCACAUCUCCAUUUUAACAACUUGAUCACUAUCUACAAGUUGUCAUUAAAAUUGUUUGUCAUUUGCAAGAAGGUGCUCCUUCUAUAAUCAUAUUUGUUAAAUCUCUUCCUGUCAAUUCCAAGAUUU